rnacentral:misc_RNA from 1 species
CUCGGAAGUGGUCACGUGUCCCCAAGCAACCAGGUAUGACCCAGUCAAACAGAUUGAACAAUUCCAUUAAUCUAUUCUGCAUUAUUGUUCCUGUGAGACCAUAACGUUUUGGGGUCUUUAUUGCUAAACAUGCCUCGUACAGUUUUGAUUUCUCAUUCUUAAGUCGAUGUGCCUCAUCAAUAAUCACAAUCUCCCAUUCAAUAUCUGAUAAAAUUCUUCCAUGGAUUCUGUAUGUAUCAAAACUGGUUAUAAGUAUCUCCACUCCACGUGCUUCAAGUUUGUCAAUCAUUAGAUCACAGUUCGG